UACGGAGGGGGCAAGCGUUGUUCGGAAUUACUGGGCGUAAGGGCGCGCAGGCGGCUGCUCAAGUCAGGCGUGAAAGGCCUGGGCUCAACCCGGGGAAUUGCGCUUGAGACUGGGCUGGCUUGAGUGCGGGAGAGGAUGGUGGAAUUCCCAGUGUAGAGGUGAAAUUCGUAGAUAUUGGGAAGAACACCGGUGGCGAAGGCGGCCAUCUGGACCGCAACUGACGCUGAGGCGCGAAAGCGUGGGGAGCAAACAGG
rnacentral:rRNA from 1 species